rnacentral:rRNA from 1 species
AUUGAACGCUGGCGGCAUGCCUUACACAUGCAAGUCGAACGGUAACCGGCCUUCGGGUGCCGACGAGUGGCGAACGGGUGAGUAAUACAUCGGAACGUGCCCGAUCGUGGGGGAUAACGAGGCGAAAGCUUUGCUAAUACCGCAUACGAUCUACGGAUGAAAGCAGGGGACCGCAAGGCCUUGCGCGGACGGAGCGGCCGAUGGCAGAUUAGGUAGUUGGUGGGAUAAAAGCUUACCAAGCCGACGAUCUGUAGCUGGUCUGAGAGGAUGAUCAGCCACACUGGGACUGAGACACGGCCCAGACUCCUACGGGAGGCAGCAGUGGGGAAUUUUGGACAAUGGGCGCAAGCCUGAUCCAGCCAUGCCGCGUGCAGGAUGAAGGCCUUCGGGUUGUAAACUGCUUUUGUACGGAACGAAAAGCCUUCUUUUAAUACAGGAGGGUCAUGACGGUACCGUAAGAAUAAGCACCGGCUAACUACGUG